UAUCCAUAUUUUCUGUAAAAUGUGAAAAAAGGAAUAUCUACCGCAUUAGCCGUUUGGUUUUAUACAAACUUCUUCAAAUGUUUCGUUAUUUUUCCCAAUGGCACUUACUUUUAAUGAAUCUCUAAUAUGGAGCUUAAGAACCCAUAUUCAAAUUUGAUGGUCUCAUCCAUAGUUUUUCUGAUGAAAUUAAUGUUUUGAAGUGACAAGGAAAUCUCAAGAACUCUUUUCCUCAGAACGGUAAAUCAUCAUCAUGGCGACAAAAAAUCACUGUCCAGCGGUGCUUUAGAGACUGUAUGAGCAACACAGCCGUAAAUAGGAGAGCCGUAAUAAUCGAGCCUCGUUCCUUAAUUUUUCUUACGACACCUCAUUGGCAGCAUAAAGCGAAGCUGCGGAACAUGCGAAUUCACACCUCGCGCCAUCGCGCCUUCAAUUUGGCAGACGCAACACGGACAUCCAUCAAAGCCUCCUUUCGUUCCUGAGGAGCGCAGAAGCAACUGUCAUGAAAGCACACUCCCCUCAGUGUCUCGUGCUUCAUCCGACACUGGAUUUUGCAAACGUAUUUCCCGAUUUUCGCC